CUGUGGGCCGGUCUAUUUGCGUGGGCUGAACGGGCUGCACUUUUUUUGAUUGGCCCAUAGAGAGAAGAGAGGUCACAUGAUUGGUCCACUUGUGUGUCUUUAAUGUGCACAUUGGCAAUUCACA